CAGUCGCCGCGGGAAUACCGAGGGUGCAAGCGUUAAUCGGAAUUACUGGGCGUAAAGCGCGCGUAGGUGGUUCGCCAAGUUGGAUGUGAAAUCCCCGGGCUCAACCUGGGAACUGCAUCCAAAACUGGCGAGCUAGAGUAUGGUAGAGGGUGGUGGAAUUUCCUGUGUAGCGGUGAAAUGCGUAGAUAUAGGAAGGAACAUCAGUGGCGAAGGCGACCACCUGGACUGAUACUGACACUGAGGUGCGAAAGCGUGGGGAGCAAACAGGAUUAGAUACCCCAGUAGUCCCUGUCUCUUAUAA
rnacentral:rRNA from 1 species